AAAUUGAAGAGUUUGAUCAUGGCUCAGAUUGAACGCUGGCGGCAGGCCUAACACAUGCAAGUCGAACGGUAACAGGAAGAAGCUUGCUUCUUUGCUGACGAGUGGCGGACGGGUGAGUAAUGUCUGGGAAACUGCCUGAUGGAGGGGGAUAACUACUGGAAACGGUAGCUAAUACCGCAUAACGUCGCAAGACCAAAGAGGGGGACCUUCGGGCCUCUUGCCAUCGGAUGUGCCCAGAUGGGAUUAGCUAGUAGGUGGGGUAACGGCUCACCUAGGCGACGAUCCCUAGCUGGUCUGAGAGGAUGACCAGCCACACUGGAACUGAGACACGGUCCAGACUCCUACGGGAGGCAGCAGUGGGGAAUAUUGCACAAUGGGCGCAAGCCUGAUGCAGCCAUGCCGCGUGUAUGAAGAAGGCCUUCGGGUUGUAAAGUACUUUCAGCGGGGAGGAAGGGAGUAAAGUUAAUACCUUUGCUCAUUGACGUUACCCGCAGAAGAAGCACCGGCUAACUCCGUGCCAGCAGCCGCGGUAAUACGGAGGGUGCAAGCGUUAAUCGGAAUUACUGGGCGUAAAGCGCACGCAGGCGGUUUGU
rnacentral:rRNA from 1 species